UACGUAGGGUGCAAGCGUUGUCCGGAAUUAUUGGGCGUAAAGAGCUCGUAGGCGGUCUGUCGCGUCUGCUGUGAAAACUCAGGGCUUAACCCUGAGCUUGCAGUGGGUACGGGCAGACUAGAGUGCGGUAGGGGAGACUGGAAUUCCUGGUGUAGCGGUGAAAUGCGCAGAUAUCAGGAGGAACACCGGUGGCGAAGGCGGGUCUCUGGGCCGUAACUGACGCUGGAGGAGCGAAAAGCAUUGGGGAGCGAACAGG
rnacentral:rRNA from 1 species